UGAAAAAUAUAGGGAUAUAUUGUCUGCUCAGAUUCAGACAAAUUCAGCAAAGUUGAUUGGAUGGCACUUCACUUUACAGAUGGACAAUGACCCAAAACAUACUGCAAAUGCAACCCAGAGGUUCUUUAUUGCAAACAAGUGGAAUAUUGUGCAAUGGCCGAGUCAAUCACCUGAUGUCAACCCAAACGAGCAUGCAUUUCACUUGUUGAAGAAAAAACUGAAGGAAAGAAUGCC